UACGUAGGGGGCAAGCGUUGUCCGGAUUUAUUGGGCGUAAAGAGCGUGUAGGCGGCCAGGUAGGUCGGUUGUGAAAACUCGAGGCUCAACCUCGAGACGUCGGCGGAAACCAUCUGGCUAGAGUCCGGAAGAGGAGAGUGGAAUUCCUGGUGUAGCGGUGAAAUGCGCAGAUAUCAGGAGGAACACCGGUGGCGAAGGCGGGUCUCUGGGCCGAUACUGACGCUGAGGAGCGAAAGCGUGGGGAGCGAACAGG
rnacentral:rRNA from 1 species